AUCAGUUUGCACAACCCUUCACGUUGCCCAAUCCAUGACUGAUAUAAAAUAACUCUUACACUGGGAGGAAGGUAGUUUCUGGGUGCCACAUCUACUGUAGAAGAGAAUCCAGAGCGUUAUAUGGUCAAAAGAUGCAUUUGAUCCUCCUGCUGUCCAGUCUUCUUCUUUUGGGAACAUCUCUGGCCAACGGACAUGACACGGAUCCUGAAGGAAAAUUGCUGAAUUCUGUGGCUGCCGCUGUAGACAGGCUUGAAAAAAAGAUAAAAGAGGUG